UACGGAGGAUCCGAGCGUUAUCCGGAUUUAUUGGGUUUAAAGGGUGCGCAGGCGGGAGAUUAAGUCGGCGGUGAAAUUUUGCAGCUUAACUGUAACAGUGCCGUUGAUACUGGGGAGCUAGGAUUUGGUUGCUGUGGGUGGAAUGUGUGGUGUAGCGGUGAAAUGCAUAGAUAUCACGAGGAACUCCGAUUGCGCAGGCAGCUUACUAAACUACUACUGACGCUCAGGCACGAAGGCGUGGGGAGUCAAACAGGAUUAGAUA
rnacentral:rRNA from 1 species